UACAGAGGGUGCAAGCGUUAAUCGGAAUUACUGGGCGUAAAGGGUGCGCAGGCGGUUCUGCAAGUCAGGCGUGAAAUCCCCGGGCUCAACCUGGGAACUGCAUUCGAGACUGCAUUGCUUGAGUAUGGGAGAGGGAGGCGGAAUUUCAGGUGUAGCGGUGAAAUGCGUAGAUAUCUGAAGGAACAUCAGUGGCGAAAGCGGCCUCCUGGACCAAUACUGACGCUCAUGUGCGAAAGCGUGGGGAGCAAACAGG
rnacentral:rRNA from 1 species